AUACGGAGGAUCCGAGCGUUAUCCGGAUUUAUUGGGUUUAAAGGGUGCGCAGGCGGCCAUUUAAGUCAGCGGUUAAAUCGUGGGGCUCAACCCCAUUCUGCCGUUGAUACUGGGUGGCUUGAUUGCGGUCGAGGUUGGCGGAAUUCGUUGUGUAGCGGUGAAAUGCAUAGAUAUGACGAAGAACACCGAUUGCGUAGGCAGCUGACCAGACCGCAAAUGACGCUCAUGCACGAAAGUGCGGGGAUCGAACAGGAUUAGAUACCCUGGUAGUCCGCACAGUAAACGAUGAAUACUUGUUUUCGGCGAUAUAAUGUCGGAGGCAAAGCGAGAGCGAUAAGUAUUCCACCUGGGGAGUACGCCGGCAACGGUGAAACUCAAAGGAAUUGACGGGG
rnacentral:rRNA from 1 species